rnacentral:sRNA from 1 species
CCAGCAGCGGAGAAGAAUGUUGUAAUAAGUGCGACUCGAUUCUCAUUAUACAGCAGUACUGCUGAUGAGUGAACCGUCCACUCACAAACCACGAUUUAGCGAUGUAUUUUUAACGAACGGCUACACGAACGGCUACCAGUUACGGUCGAGGUGCAGAUCCUUUACACACCAUUAUUACUUGUAGAGAUAUAAUCGAUUCGAUCAUUUUUGACACAGUUAAAAUCACAUCAAAACAGCCAUCUCCACGACCCCCAUUUUGAUAUACAAUCUAGACUACAGACUAAUUUCUUCGAUAUACGCCCCCAGCUUCUUCCCCUUUCGUGCUCUAAGAAAAAUGCCAGCACCGUUCACCUCAAAGCCGCAUACAUACCCACCAAGCAGGCAGCUAACGGGAACAAGCUUCGCAUCCCGUUAAGCCCAAUCCACUGACGCAAAAAACGCUCCGUCUCCGCCCUCGCCCCAACCUUGGCUAUAGGCUCCGUCUCCACCAAACUGGCCUUCUCCAACAGCUCCUUAUUGGUCUUCGUCAUUGCAAGGAUGGUGAACGGGACAAUAGACAAGGUUAGCGCCCCGGCAGCGCAAUACAGCGUGGAUGUGUUCUGACCUGCCUCACGGAGGGAUAUAGUCCCGGAACGGUCGGACCAGGCUAGGUAGAAGAAUGCGGCUGCGGUGCAGAGGGCGAUGGGCGGGUUCUGUGUUGCGCCGAGAUGAUAGACGUUUCGCCAUAGCUUUGCGAGGGUGCUGGCGGAGAGGUUGCUUUCUUGGGCGGAGGUGAGGAGGGAGGGUGCCACAUUUACACUGUAGGCGGCGAUGUUACCUGUAGAGUUGGAAUGUGCUAUUAUUAGCAUCUGGCAAAUAUUUUGGUCCUUACUCCGAGGACAUUAUGCGUGUGUGUGAGAGGGAAGUUCAAUAUGUUAUCUCUCGUACGUAGAGAGAUAAACCGAGAUAUAAGAUUCCCCUUGGGAAUUGUAUUGAUGAAUGGGUAGAUAGGUACUAUCUCUUAGCAUUAUCCAAGAUGGAGUAACUGCGUACCAGAAAGCCAAGCUGCACCGCUCAAGCCUACUACCUGCGCGAC